rnacentral:lncRNA from 1 species
GAACAGCAUCCUCCACCCCAGAUCUAACCCACUCUGAGGAUUGGUGAAUACAGAGCGUUUGCCCUUAAGUGGUGUUUCCUGAGCAACAGGGAGGCCCACCCUCCUCACACCCGCAGCCCUUUUGUAAGCCCAGCUUGGGCAUUGCUUAGAGGGUUUAUGGGUGACUCUGGCAUGCACGGUUUUACUUGUGCAACAGUGCAAGCACCAACAUGAGUGUGCGGUGGCACACUCCUCUUGUGAAAAGCCAAAAUUCUUCCUGUUGCUGGCCACUUCUUCCGGAGGCUGGGCCUCCCUCUCAUCUCUGUCUGUUGAUUAGAAGUGGCUGAUGGUGUCCAAUGAGAGCAGAGCAACCUUCCCAUGGAAGGGGCACCUUGCGGUGCUGGUGCGAAUCCCUCAUUUUCUAUGUUCUUCUCUCUAGUAGGUCUCAAGCAGAGACAGAUAUUUUUGUUUUAGAGAUUCCAAAGUCUAUAUUUUUAGUGUAAGAAACGCACCCUUCUCCACACUUCAUGACGUAAAUAGAACGGGGAAUAAAGUGUCCCGCUGUGAUUACCCCAUAGCAGUUUAUGUAUGGUAGAAACAAGGCCCCUUCUCCAGUGUGUCUGUGGCCCAGGGCAGGUAACUGUGACAGUGUAUGUCUGAGCCUCUGCCUGCCCUCACUGUGUGUGCUCAGCUCUUUGGGUGACAAAUAAAGCCCGUAUUAUAAA